rnacentral:ribozyme from 1 species
AUUGAGGAAUGAAAUAAAAAUGAUAGAGUGUUAAAACAACCUUUUUCUUUGAACAAACUAGGUCAGUAACCUUUCCUUUUUUCUCUUCUUCUUUUUUUUUCUCUUUUUUUUUGGCUUUUUUUUUUUCUCGUUUUCAGGAUAAAGCCAUGAGAGAUAUAGAGAGAAAACACCCCUCAUAGACCAUAAAUUGUUUCUAUCGAUAAAUUUUAUUCAUUUUUCUGAGACUCUGAUGAAAAA